rnacentral:rRNA from 1 species
AGCAGCCGCGGUAAUUCCAGCUCCAAUAGCGUAUAUUAAAGUUGUUGCAGUUAAAAAGCUCGUAGUUGAAUUUCGGGGUCAGUAGGUUGGUCGUGCCACUGGUAUGUACUGGUCUCACUGAUUCCUCCUUCCUGAUGAGCCGUAAUGCCAUUAAUUUGGUGUUGCGGGGAAUCUGGACUGUUACUUUGAAAAAUUAGAGUGUUUAAAGCAGGCUAACGCUUGAAUACAUUAGCAUGGAAUAAUGAAAUAGGACGUUCGAUCCUAUUUUGUUGGUUUCUAGGAUUGACGUAAUGAUUAAUAGGGAUAGUUGGGGGCAUUAGUAUUCAAUUGUCAGAGGUGAAAUUCUUGGAUUUAUUGAAGACUAACUACUGCGAAAGCAUUUGCCAAGGAUGUUUUCAUUAAUCAAGAACGAAAGUUAGGGGAUCGAAGACGAACAGAUACCGUCGUAGUCUUAACCAUAAACUAUAGCCGACUAGGGAUCGGAUGAUGUUAAAUUUUUAAUGUACUCAGUUCGGCGCCU